rnacentral:lncRNA from 1 species
GGCAGCCCCUGCUAAGCUCCCUGCUGUGAUCUGCGGGCUCGGGUAUGGAGUCUUCCCUGUCUUUGAUACAAGCCAGAAAUGUAGAAUUGAAUGUACAAUCAUCCCCUUUGAAAAAUGUCAGCAUUUACUUAACAUUUUUUUUUAAACACCGGGCAGGCCAAAUAAAACAUGUCAGCUGGCAGCUUUGGUCGCUGCCGACAAGCCCUGCUCAGAGACCAGAGACUCCCCGCAGUGCUGCUCCUGGCCCCAGAGACCCCCUCUGCGUCCACUCAGCACGGGUCCCGCAAAGGCGCCACACUUGGGAGGCAGCGUAGAGUGGCACAGCUCUGCCACCACUUGGCAUCACCCCUGCAGCCUCAGCGCCCUUGUGGGUGAAGCAGAGAGAAUCGUGUGACCAUGUCGAAGGUGAGGAUUCAAGGAGUCAGCACGGGGCCGCUGCGUGGGGGCGCAGUGGGUUAAGCUGCCACUUGAGACUCCAGCGUCCCAUAUGGCAAUGCCUGCCGGAGUCCUGGGACUUUCGCUUCUGAUCUAACCUCCCGCUAAUGUGCAUUUGCGAGGCAGCAGAUGGCAGCCCAAGUCGAACUCCUGGCUUCAGCUUGGACAAGCCUUGACUCUUGCAGGCAUCUGGGGAGUAAACUGAGGUGGGAGAUCUCUGUUUCUCUCUCUCUCCCCCUCUCUCUCCUCAGCCAUUCAACUAGAUGAAAAUAAAUAGAACUUUAAUGAGUUUACA